AUUGAACGCUGGCGGCAGGCUUAACACAUGCAAGUCGAACGAGUGGCGGACGGGUGAGUAAUGUUUGGGAAUCUAGCUUAUGGAGGGGGAUAACUACGGGAAACAGUAGCUAAUACCGCGUACCAUCGGAUGAGCCCAAGUGGGAUUAGGUAGUUGGUGGGGUAAAGGCUCACCAAGCCGACGAUCUCUAGCUGGUCUGAGAGGAUGACCACGCUCACUGGGACUCAAGCACGGCCCAGACUCCUACGAGAGCCAGCAGUGUGGAUUAUUGCGAAUUGGGGGCAGCCUUACGCAGCCAUGCCGCGUGAAUAAAGAAGACCUUCGGGUUGUAAAGUUCUUUCGGUAGCGAGGCGUUAACUACAGAAGAAGCACCGGCUAACUCCGUGCCAGCAGCCGCGGUAAUUC
rnacentral:rRNA from 1 species